AUUGAACGCUGGCGGCAGGCCUAACACAUGCAAGUCGAGCGGAUGAAGGGAGCUUGCUCCUGGAUUCAGCGGCGGACGGGUGAGUAAUGCCUAGGAAUCUGCCUGGUAGUGGGGGAUAACGUCCGGAAACGGGCGCUAAUACCGCAUACGUCCUGAGGGAGAAAGUGGGGGAUCUUCGGACCUCACGCUAUCAGAUGAGCCUAGGUCGGAUUAGCUAGUUGGUGGGGUAAAGGCCUACCAAGGCGACGAUCCGUAACUGGUCUGAGAGGAUGAUCAGUCACACGGGAGGUGAGACAGGGUCAAGAGUCCUACGAGAGGCAGCAGUGGGGAAUAUUGGACAACAGGCGAAAGCCUGAUCCAGCCAGGGCGCGUGUGUGAAGAAGGUCUUCGGAUUGUAAAGCACUUUAAGUUGGGAGGAAGGGCAGUAAGUUAAUACCUUGCUGUUUUGACGUUACCAACAGAAGAAGCACCGGCUAACUACGUG
rnacentral:rRNA from 1 species